GACUCCUCAGUCCAACUUCUCAAAAUGAGGCUCCCUGCUCAGCUCCUGGGGCUGCUGGUGCUCUGUGUCCCAGGAUCCAGUGGGGAGAUUGUGAUGACCCAGAGUCCACUGUCCCUGCCGGUCACCCCUGGAGAGCCGGCCUCCAUCUCCUGCAGGUCUAGUCAGAGCCUCCUGCAUAGCAAUGGAAACACCUAUUUGGAUUGGUACCUGCAGAAGCCAGGCCAGUCUCCACAGCUCUUGAUUUAUAGGGUUUCCAACCGGGCCUCUGGGGUCCCAGACAGUUUCAGUGGCAGUGGGUCAGGGACAGAUUUUACGUUGAAAAUCAGCAGAGUGGAGGCUGAGGAUGUUGGAGUUUAUUACUGCGUGCAAGGUACACAAACUCCUCCCACAGUGCUACAGUCCCGAACACAAACCUCCCUGCUGUGGAGGCCCAGCUGCCUACAAGGGCUGCUUCUCUGGGGAGCAUCUCAGCAGGUCCUCUGA